rnacentral:rRNA from 1 species
CCUACGGGAGGCAGCAGUAAGGAAUAUUGGUCAAUGGGCGCAAGCCUGAACCAGCCAUGCCGCGUGCAGGAUGACGGCCCUCUGGGUUGUAAACUGCUUUUAUACGGGAAGAACAGCAUCUACGUGUAGGUGUUUGACGGUACUGUAAGAAUAAGGACCGGCUAACUUCGUGCCAGCAGCCGCGGUAAUACGAAGGGUCCAAGCGUUAUCCGGAUUUAUUGGGUUUAAAGGGUGCGUAGGCGGCUUUUUAAGUCAGUGGUGAAAGCCUGAUGCUCAACAUCAGAACUGCCAUUGAUACUGAAGAGCUUGAGUACAGUUGAGGUUGGCGGAAUGUGUCAUGUAGCGGUGAAAUGCUUAGAUAUGACACAGAACACCGAUUGCGAAGGCAGCUAGCUAAGCUGUUACUGACGCUGAUGCACGAAGACGGUGGGGUAGGACGAACAAGGAGUAGUAUACCUACGGUAGUACCGACCGACCCGUAACCGUUACGUAUAACUACGUUGUUAGUCGAUAUACUAGUUAGUCGACCGACGACGAACGACGAGUUAAGUUUAAGUUACCGUAACCGUACGGGUAAGGGUUAACGGGUUACGGUCGAAGAGUUAGUUAACGUUACGAAAGUAAGUUAGUUAGGUUACGGUUCGGAGGAGACGCGACCGGACGGACGACGACGGAGGGAGGUUAGG